rnacentral:rRNA from 1 species
AUUGAACGCUGGCGGAAUGCUUUACACAUGCAAGUCGAACGGCAGCACGGACUUCGGUCUGGUGGCGAGUGGCGAACGGGUGAGUAAUAUAUCGGAACGUGCCCAGUCGUGGGGGAUAACAUAGCGAAAGUUACGCUAAUACCGCAUACGAUCUACGGAUGAAAGCGGGGGAUCGCAAGACCUCGCGCGAUUGGAGCGGCCGAUAUCAGAUUAGGUAGUUGGUGGGGUAAAGGCUCACCAAGCCAACGAUCUGUAGCUGGUCUGAGAGGACGAACAGCCACACUGGAACUGAGGCACGGUCCAGACUCCUACGGGAGGCAGCAGUGGGGAAUUUUGGACAAUGGACGCAAGUCUGAUCCAGCCAUUCCGCGUGCAGGAUGAAGGCCCUCGGGUUGUAAACUGCUUUUGUACAGAACGAAAAGGCUCUUCCUAAUACGGAGGGCUCAUGACGGUACUGUAAGAAUAAGCACCGGCUAACUACGUGCCAGCAGCCGCGGUAA